UACAGAGGUGGCAAGCGUUGUUCGGAAUUACUGGGCGUAAAGGGCGCGUAGGCGGCUUUAUAAGUCGGGGGUGAAAGCCUGUGGCUCAACCACAGAAUUGCCUUCGAUACUGUAUGGCUUGAGACCGGAAGAGGUAAGUGGAACUGCGAGUGUAGAGGUGAAAUGCGCAGAUAUCAGGAGGAACACCAAUGGCGAAGGCAGCUCGCUGGGACGUUACUGACGCUGAGGUGCGAAAGCGUGGGGAGCAAACAGG
rnacentral:rRNA from 1 species